rnacentral:rRNA from 1 species
CACGUAGGGUGCGAGCGUUGUCCGGAAUUAUUGGGCGUAAAGAGCUCGUAGGCGGUGUGUCGCGUCGGCCGUGAAAACCUGCAGCUUAACUGUGGGCUUGCGGUCGAUACGGGCAUCACUGGAGUUCGGCAGGGGAGACUGGAAUUCCUGGUGUAGCGGUGAAAUGCGCAGAUAUCAGGAGGAACACCGGUGGCGAAGGCGGAUCUCUGGGCCAUUACUGACGCUGAGGAGCGAAAGCGUGGGGGAGCGAACAGG